UUUGAGGUAAAUAGUGAGUAGCUGACUUGAGGAAGUGAUCAACCCUUGGGAUAAAAUUAAAUUUGCUUCUUUUUACCCCAAUUUUUUUUACCAUGGGUAAAAAGAAUCUUCUUGAGAUAUAAAAAGAACCAGAUUUAGAUUUAGCCCAAUAGUUGAUGAUGUAUUUUCCCCCAAGAAGGCUGCUCAUUAUUUACCCAAG
rnacentral:pre_miRNA from 1 species